UACGGGGGGGGCAAGCGUUGUUCGGAAUUACUGGGCGUAAAGGGCGCGUAGGCGGCCUUCUAAGUCGAACGUGAAAUCCCUGGGCUCAACCCAGGAACUGCGUCCGAUACUGGAAGGCUUGAAUCCGGGAGAGGGAUGCGGAAUUCCAGGUGUAGCGGUGAAAUGCGUAGAUAUCUGGAGGAACACCGGUGGCGAAGGCGGCAUCCUGGACCGGCAUUGACGCUGAGGCGCGAAAGCCAGGGGAGCAAACAGG
rnacentral:rRNA from 1 species